rnacentral:rRNA from 1 species
UACGGAGGGUGCAAGCGUUAUCCGGAUUUAUUGGGUUUAAAGGGUGCGUAGGUGGCCUUAUAAGUCAGCGGUGAAAGUCUGCAGCUUAACUGUAGAACUGCCAUUGAUACUGUAAGGCUUGAGUACUGAUGAGGUAGGCGGAAUUGAUAGUGUAGCGGUGAAAUGCAUAGAUAUUAUCAAGAACACCGAUUGCGAAGGCAGCUUACUAAGGAGUUACUGACACUGAGGCACGAAAGCGUGGGGAUCAAACAGG